rnacentral:rRNA from 1 species
AGUGAACGCUGGCGGUAGGCCUAACACAUGCCAGUCGAACGGCAGCACAGUAAGAGCUUGCUCUUACGGGUGGCGAGUGGCGGACGGGUGAGGAAUACAUCGGAAUCUACUUUUUCGUGGGGGAUAACGUAGGGAGACUUACGCUAAUACCGCAUACGACCUACGGGUGAAAGCAGGGGAUCUUCGGACCUUGCGCGAUUGAAUGAGCCGAUGUCGGAUUAGCUAGUUGGCGGGGUAAAGGCCCACCAAGGCGACGAUCCGUAGCUGGUCUGAGAGGAUGAUCAGCCACACUGGAACUGAGACACGGUCCAGACUCCUACGGGAGGCAGCAGUGGGGAAUAUUGGACAAUGGGCGCAAGCCUGAUCCAGCCAUACCGCGUGGGUGAAGAAGGCCUUCGGGUUGUAAAGCCCUUUUGUUGGGAAAGAAAAGCAGCAGGUUAAUACCCCGCUGUUCUGACGGUACCCAAAGAAUAAGCGCCGGCUAACUUCGUG